rnacentral:tRNA from 1 species
ACCCUGGUGGUCUAGUGGCUAAGACUGCACUUCCAACGCAGGGGGUCUGGGUUCAAUCCCUGGUCAGGGAA